UGGCGGCAGGCCUAACACAUGCAAGUCGAGCGGUAACAUUUCUAGCUUGCUAGAAGAUGACGAGCGGCGGACGGGUGAGUAACGCGUAGAAAUCUACCUAGUAGUGGGGGAUAGCCCAGAGAAAUUUGGAUUUAAUACCGCAUACGCCCUACGGGGGAAAGCGGGGGGAUCUUCGGACCUCGUGCUAUUAGAUGAGUCUGCGUCGGAUUAGCUUGUUGGUGAGGUAAUGGCUCACCAAGGCGACGAUCCGUAGCUGGUCUGAGAGGAUGACCAGCCACACUGGAACUGAGACACGGUCCAGACUCCUACGGGAGGCAGCAGUGGGGAAUAUUGCACAAUGGGCGCAAGCCUGAUGCAGCCAUGCCGCGUGUGUGAAGAAGGCCUUAGGGUUGUAAAGCACUUUCAGCAGUGAGGAAAGGGGUGUCGUUAAUAGCGCCAUCCUGUGACGUUAACUGCAGAAGAAGGACCGGCUAACUCCGUG
rnacentral:rRNA from 1 species